rnacentral:lncRNA from 1 species
GCUCAGCAUCUUUGCUGCAAUUCACUUUGUUACUCACCAGCUGCAACUGGACAGAUUGCACCUUCUCCCCGAACAACUCAUGCACUGAUUAUGAACUCUGCCCUGCCCGGAUCAAACCACAAACAGAGCCGUUCCUUCCCACCCAAGCAGCGCAUUUCUCAACUGCUUUUACACAGCCCGAUUAAAGCCACGCCUCUUGGUGGAGAGGCACCACCAAGCCACAAAGGAGCCAAUUUCGGCAGGCGGUGACAGCAGCGGGCAGACACGGGAGCUCUCAGCGAACCAAAGAAUCACCGCAGCCCAAACGUGAGCUUAGCAACAGAGGUGUAUUAGCCACAUCUCAACGCAACGUGACGCGCAGCAUCUCUGAUACCGGCUCCAACGCACCGCAGCCGUCUCACGCCCGCAGGCAGUGCCCGUCCUCCAGCCGUGCCGCUCCCCGCGCUCAGCUCCUGGCCCUGAGGGCCGUGGCCACCAUGCCCCCCAGCAGGGCCGCCACGGUGAAGCCCUGGGCCACGACCCGCGCCCGCAUCAUCAGCUGCGAGUGGCGCGUGUUGCCCCUCUUGAAGCUGAUGAGGCCGUAGGUCAGCACGCCCAGGGUGCAGAGGCAGCCGAGGGGCACCAGCGGGUUCUCGCGCGUCUUGCGCCGGAACUUGUCCGCGAAGCCCUCAUCGCGGUACACCGGCAGCGGGAUGGGCUCCAAGGGCGGGGGAGGCCCGGCCGCCAUGGUUGCGGCCGCGGGGACAGGGGACGGCACGACCCUUCCCGC